rnacentral:tRNA from 1 species
UGAGGUGCAGCUCAGUGGCAGAGUGCUUGCCUAGAAUGAGCGAGGCCCUGGGUUCCAUUCCCAGCAGCCCAA